rnacentral:rRNA from 1 species
UACGGAGGAUCCAAGCGUUAUCCGGAUUUAUUGGGUUUAAAGGGUGCGUAGGUGGUUUUUUAAGUCAGGGGUGAAAGACGGCAGCUUAACUGUCGCAGUGCCUUUGAUACUGAAGAGCUUGAAUGAACUAGAGGUAGGCGGAAUGUGACAAGUAGCGGUGAAAUGCAUAGAUAUGUCACAGAACACCAAUUGCGAAGGCAGCUUACUAUGGUUUUAUUGACACUGAGGCACGAAAGCGUGGGGAUCAAACAGG